rnacentral:rRNA from 1 species
UGGGGAAUUUUGGACAAUGGGGGAAACCCUGAUCCAGCCAUCCCGCGUGUGCGAUGAAGGCCUUCGGGUUGUAAAGCACUUUUGGCAGGAAAGAAACGUCGCGGGUUAAUACCCCGCGGAACUGACGGUACCUGCAGAAUAAGCACCGGCUAACUACGUGCCAGCAGCCGCGGUAAUACGUAGGGUGCAAGCGUUAAUCGGAAUUACUGGGCGUAAAGCGUGCGCAGGCGGUUCGGAAAGAAAGAUGUGAAAUCCCAGAGCUUAACUUUGGAACUGCAUUUUUAACUACCGGGCUAGAGUGUGUCAGAGGGAGGUGGAAUUCCGCGUGUAGCAGUGAAAUGCGUAGAUAUGCGGAGGAACACCGAUGGCGAAGGCAGCCUCCUGGGAUAACACUGACGCUCAUGCACGAAAGCGUGGGGAGCAAACAGGAUUAGAUACCCUGGGUAGUCACGCCCUAAACGAUGUCAACUAGUUGUCGGGUCUUCAUUGACUUGGUGACGUAGCUAACGCGUGAAGUUGACCGCCUGGGGAGUACGGUCGCAAGAUU